rnacentral:rRNA from 1 species
GGGGGGACCUGAUCCAGCCAUGCCGCGUGUGUGAAGAAGGCCUUUUGGUUGUAAAGCACUUUAAGCGAGGAGGAGGCUACCGAGAUUAAUACUCUUGGAUAGUGGACGUUACUCGCAGAAUAAGCACCGGCUAACUCUGUGCCAGCAGCCGCGGUAAUACAGAGGGUGCAAGCGUUAAUCGGAUUUACUGGGCGUAAAGCGCGCGUAGGUGGCCAAUUAAGUCAAAUGUGAAAUCCCCGAGCUUAACUUGGGAAUUGCAUUCGAUACUGGUUGGCUAGAGUAUGGGAGAGGAUGGUAGAAUUCCAGGUGUAGCGGUGAAAUGCGUAGAGAUCUGGAGGAAUACCGAUUGCGAAGGCAGA